AGCGCAGGCGGGUUGGCAAGUCCUUGGUGAAAUCCUGAGGCUUAACCUCAGGACUGCCAAUGAUACUGCCGAUCUUGAGUGCAGAAGAGGAAGACGGAAUUCCUGGUGUAGCGGUGAAAUGCGUAGAUAUCAGGAGGAACACCGGUGGCGAAGGCGGUCUUCUGGUCUGUAACUGACGCUCAUGCUCGAAAGCGUGGGGAGCAAACAGGAUUAGAUACCCUGGUAGUCCACGCCCUAAACGAUGGAUACUCGAUGUCGGGUCGCAAGGCCCGGUGUCCAAGCUAACGCGUUAAGUAUCCCACCUGGGGAGUACGAUCGCAAGGUUGAA
rnacentral:rRNA from 1 species